GCAAGUCGAGCGAUGAAGUUUCCUUCGGGAAACGGAUUAGCGGCGGACGGGUGAGUAACACGUGGGUAACCUGCCUCAAAGAAGGGGAUAGCCCUCCGAAAGGAGGAGUAAUACCGUAUAACAUAUUUUAAUCGCAUGAUUAAAAUAUCAAAGAUUUAUCGCUUUGAGAUGGACCCGCGUCGCAUUAGCUAGUUGGUAAGGUAAUGGCUUACCAAGGCGACGAUGCGUAGCCGACCUGAGAGGGUGAUC
rnacentral:rRNA from 1 species